CUCAAAUUUAAAUCUAAUUCUCAAGUCUAGUUAUUUUCCUACUGUGCCACAGAUACAAACUUUUGUGUUUUAAUGUUUAUUGUUCUGCUUAUCAAAGAAAGAAUGUAAACUUAUGAUUCUGUUUUGCUUUGUUUAAAAAUGUGAUUCAGCAUGAUUCCACCUUUCCACUGAUAGACUCAAGUUCCCAGAACCAGAUUAGAAAACGCAUCGUACUUGAAAAGUUGAGUAAAGUAUUGCCUGGGCUUCUGCUUCCUCUUCAGAUUACAUUGGGAGAUAUUUACACACAACUUAAAAAUCUUGUUCGAACUUUCAGGUUAACAAAUAGAAAUAUUAUACACAAACCUGCGGAAUGGACUUUAAUUGCUAUGGUGUUGCUGUCAUUACUGACCCCAAUUCUUGGCAUUCAGAAACAUUCUCAGGAAGGUAUGGUGUUUACACGGUUUCUAGACACCCUGCUUGAAGAAUUACAUCUAAAAAAUGAAGACCUUGAAAGUCUAACCAUCAUAUUUAGAACCAGCUGUUUACCAGAGUGAUAUAUUCCAUGAAGACAAAAUAGAAGAUGAACUUCUAUUCACCGUUUCUGGAAUUCUAGCCGCCAUGAUGGUCUGGUGGUGACUGAUAACUAGUUUUAUUCCAAGACAUACCUUUACCUCUUUAAGUUUCAAUCUCCCAUCUCCCAGUCCUUCAGUCCCCAACUGCAGAGGAUGACCUCCCCAGAUAGAGGAGAAUCAUUACUCCAACAAGAAUAACCAAGU
rnacentral:sRNA from 1 species